rnacentral:rRNA from 1 species
UACGUAGGGCGCAAGCGUUGUCCGGAAUUAUUGGGCGUAAAGAGCUCGUAGGCGGUCUGUCACGUCUGCCGUGAAAACCCGAGGCGUUAACCUCGUGGCUUGCGGUGGAUACGGGCAGACUAGAGGUAGGUAGGGGAGAACGGAAUUCCCGGUGUAGCGGUGAAAUGCGCAGAUAUCAGGAGGAACACCGGUGGCGAAGGCGGGUCUCUGGGCAGUAACUGACGCUGAGGAACGAAAGCGUGGGUAGCGAACAGG